rnacentral:rRNA from 1 species
GAACCGUCCAAACGUUUAUUCGGAAUCAUUGGGCUUAAAGGGUGCGUAGGCGGCGUGGUCAGUUGGGUGUGAAAUCCCUCGGCUCAACCUAGGAACUGCGCCCAAUACUGCCACACUCGAGGGAGACAGAGGUAAGCGGAACUGAUGGUGGAGCGGUGAAAUGCGUUGAUAUCGUCAGGAACACCAGUGGCGAAGGCGGCUUACUGGGUCUCUUCUGACGCUGAGGCACGAAAGCUAGGGGAGCGAACGGGGGAUUAGAUACCCCGGUAGUCCUAGCUGUAAACGAUGAGCACUUGAUCGGAGACUCCUCCAUAGGUUUCCGGUCGUAGCGAAAGUGUUAAGUGCUCCGCCUGGGGAGUAUGGUCGCAAGGCUG